rnacentral:tRNA from 1 species
AUAAAGUUGACAGAAUGUAUGUGAAUGAAUUAGGGUCAUUUUAUAAGAAAAAAGUAUCUUACUUUAUA